GCACUCAAGGUGCCAUCGACGCGCCGGCUUCGCGCACCUCUUGAUUUCUUAUCUUAAUUGUCGCGUCGUUGCUUGCGCAGUUGGCGGCCAGUUUCGUGCCGGUUUCAGGUUGAUCGAGACGUAUUCUACGCGAGUCGUAUUGUUUGUAUCAUAUUUAAUCAUCACUGUACUAUUUAAUUGUAAUCACUAUAGUAAUAUUAUUUACUAUUUGCGCGUUUAUGGGCGUCCGGCCGAUUUGUGAUCGCGCGGAAAGUGUAUAUUGGAACUCACAACAGUUGUUAGGUAAAUCAAAUAAAGAUCGACCUCAUAUUGAUUUAUACAUCAUUAGGAUGACCCAUCGAGUUGGUUAUUUGCCCUGCCCUGGAGUCUGAUGAGUUCUGCAUUGGAGUUACUACUACCACCAUCUUCGUACGGUGCCUUGAAUGGGAGUCAGUACAGGCGCUACCUUUGUACGGUGCCCUAAUUGGGAGUCUUUAUGGAUCUUUUGUUAGAUGAAGCAUUGGCUAAUUCUGAGAUGGCCAAGUUUAUCAAUAAGGACCAACUGGAAUGGCUCAGGUGGAGUGCGUAUUGAGGAUGAUGUUUUGAUUACUGAAAAUGGAUGUUGCAACUGGACUACACUAAGUUCCAUGAACGUUUAUAGUGGCCAAGAAAUUGAAGAUUGGAUUGCCGGUGUUGAUGAUGAUUCCAAAUUCGAUUGAAUGAAUUUACAACAUUUCGAAGCUGUUAUUGAUAUCAUUUUUGUUUAUUAUGUUAAAAAUUGUAAAAAGAGCAUUGUAUAAUUACAUGUAGGUAUAUAUUGAGAAAUUGAGUUACUGAUGGGUGUAUAUUCUACAUGUUUUAAUAAAAUUUUUGUUUUAUACUUUUAACUAUAAA